AAAUUGAAGAGUUUGAUCAUGGCUCAGAUUGAACGCUGGCGGCAGGCUUAACACAUGCAAGUCGAACGGUAACAGGAAGCAGCUUGCUGCUUUGCUGACGAGUGGCGGACGGGUGAGUAAUGUCUGGGAAACUGCCUGAUGGAGGGGGAUAACUACUGGAAACGGUAGCUAAUACCGCAUAA
rnacentral:rRNA from 1 species